AGCAGCCGCGGUAAUUCCAGCUCCAAUAGCGUAUAUUAAAGUUGUUGCAGUUAAAAAGCUCGUAGUUGAAUUUCGGGAUUAGUACGUUGGUCGUGCCUUAGGUACGUACUGGUGUUACUGGUUCCUACCUUCUGACGAACCAUCAUGUCAUUAAUUUGGUGUGGCGGGGAAUCAGGACUGUUACUUUGAAAAAAUUAGAGUGUUUAAAGCAGGCUCGCGCUUGAAUACAUUAGCAUGGAAUAAUGAAAUAGGACGUUGACCCUAUUUUGUUGGUUUCUAGGAUUGACGUAAUGAUUAAUAGGGAUAGUUGGGGGCAUUAGUAUUCAAUUGUCAGAGGUGAAAUUCUUGGAUUUAUUGAAGACUAACUACUGCGAAAGCAUUUGCCAAGGAUGUUUUCAUUAAUCAAGACGAAAGUUAGGGGAUCGAAGACGAUCAGAUACCGUCGUAGUC
rnacentral:rRNA from 1 species